GCGAGGAUGUGGUUGCGAGUGCUGUCGCUGUUUCUCGUCCUCCAAGCUGCGGUGUUUGCGAUGGAGCCCCCUGUCAACUCCACCACUCUCAGAAGGGCCCACGGGUGGACGUUCCGGACUGUGUGGCGCAAGGCCAUCGUAUUGCCUGACAGGUGCGAAGACGGGACAACUUACGUCAAUGGAGCCUGUGUGAAGACGGUUCAGCUGAGUCCUAAUUAGAAGAACUGAAGAUACUCAGACUGGAGGGCUGUAUCCUAGUAGGAGUGGGGAACACCCGUCACAAGCGUGUGAUUUGUCGCUGGAUUUAAGAAAAAGGAAUAUGGACACAAAUACUACACAAAAAUGACUUGUGAGACAUUAUAUUACGAACGACAAUAUUUUUGUGAAAUGUAAAAUAAAAUCCUAACUCUCCAUCUCCCGAGAAAGAAGAGAAACAUCACCUACCACAGAGUUGAAUACUCCUAAAAUGCAGAAUCUUCGAUGAAAUGU